GAGAGAUUUUUUUUUAGCGAAUUGUUGGAGAGGGCUGGGCGGUUCCCAUCCUCCCUACGGUCGCGAGCUGGAUACGGUGGCCAGAAGCAGGGGAGGUCGUUCCCGCCGACGGGAUCCAGUUCGAGGGAAGCGGCGGCGCCGGGUCUAACCGCAACCUCCUCGCUAGGGCGGUGCUCAUCCACAUCGACGCACUACACGCCGGGGUCAGCACUACCCAUUCCUCGCCUCACUCCACCUCUUCAGGUCGUUGUCAAUCUGUAUAUUCUAACAGCUUUGGGAGGUUUGCUAUUAGGCGAUGUUGGGCCUACCUUUAUUCAGGGGGGUAAAUAAAGGUGCAGCAACAUCAAGGGCUGUCGCACGAGGACGCAAGUGGAGCGAUCGUGGAAACACCGGGAUGCUUAUCAUCACCUACGAGGACGAGCAUAGCCAUGGACAUCCACUCAACUUGUCAGCGCUCGCCGCUGAUUCAGAAGCCUGACUGAAGCUGCCUAUGCCAGAAGAAGAUAGGAGACCUCUGAAUUUUUAUGCCAUUGAGGGAACAUGUCAUUUAGCUGCUCUUUGGUUAUUCAGUUUGACAAAAAAUCAGAAUGCAAGAGA